GUGGCAAAUGCCUUUGCUGCCGGCGGCGUCGCCGCUGCCGCUGUCGCUGGCCGCGGCGGCGUCCCGUCGCGGCCGCGCCGUGGCCUGCGCUGCGAGAGGCGCGGCUUCCUCCUCGUUCGACGCGGCAAGGUUCGAGGCCGAGCGGCUCCGGCUCGACGCAGAGGCGCGGGCCGGGAUGGCGUCCGCGGCGGCAGGGGCGGACGCGGAGGCGGACCCCAAGGCGUGGAAGUGGGCGAUACGGAGGCGGGUGUGGGACGCGCUGGAGGCCGAGGGCGUCGCGCGCGACCCGCGGCCCGUCCACCACCGCAUCCCCAACUUCGACGGCGCCGCCGCCGCCGCCGACUCGUUGGGGAGACUCGACGUUUUCCAGGAUGCACAAUGUGUGAAGGUCAAUCCUGACUCCCCACAGAAGCAAGUUCGCUUCUUAACACUCUCAGGUGAUAAAAUGUUGCUGACUCCACAACCUCGGCUAAGGACAGGAUUUUUCUCAGUUCUGGAAUCUCACAUGAUACCCACUGGAUGUAUUCCAGAAGCAUGCACUUCUGUUGGUGCAGCCAAAUACGGCAGACCAAUAGGUCUAGAUGAAAAAGUUAAAGUGAACUUGAUCGUGAUUGGAUCGGUUGCAGUUGACCCAAGCACAGGAACACGGCUAGGAAAGGGCGAGGGAUUUGCAGAGCUGGAAUAUGGGAUGCUUCGUUAUAUGGGAUCUAUUAGCGAUUCAACCAUGAUAGUUACAACUGUGCAUGACAAGCAAUUAGUGAAUGACAUUCCAGUUGAGAAGCUGCUAAUUCAUGAUGUACCAGUUGACAUUAUCUGCACUCCGACCCAGGUCAUCUUCACGAAUACCACAAUCCCAAAACCACAAGGGAUUUACUGGGAAAAGUUAUCUCCAGAAAAAUUGGGCCAAAUACGAAUUUUACAGGAGCUGAAGAGACGCAUAGAGAAUGAAACGGGAACUACACUUCCUUGUGGCCCUUCUGAGAAGCUACCACCAACAGCACAGCGAAGAAGAAGAAAACGAAGACGAUGAUAAGUGACAUGAGGACAGCUAAUCUUUGGAAUCUGAUGUGCUCCAGUCACAUCACAGCACCUUGUGUGUACGCAUGCCCAUGGUGCUGACUUGGCACGUUUGCACGACGCGAUUGGUUGCCGUUUCGUGGCGUCUGGCAACGCUAGAGGCGUGGCAAAUUCACCAUGUACUCGUUUCCUUACAAAAGAAAAGAAAAGAAGAGAAGAGAACAAAACAACAACAUGUUAGCUAGCGUUAUCAAAAAUAAAAUAUUUCGAACAUUGUCGACUCAAUGGAUGAAUUUCAUCGAUUAUUUGGAUUUUGGAACAGAUGGGCGUGGCGAUAAAAGCAAAUUGUCGUGUUCCAAACUAAACUUGGUCUUGGUUUAUUGCUCUUUCUUUAUGCUCAUUACGCUUUACGUGGUUUCGUUUAACUUGAAGGCACCAACCAAUU